CUGCAGUGUGACAUAGAGGACUCCUCAAAGCAGGAACUCCUUCAGUGAGGUCUACACAGCUACACACAGUAGCAGCUUAGAGGACUGUGAGCCACAACACUGAAUACUAGAGAUUCAUCAUGGAGAAACCACUAUUACUGAUCCUCAUUAUGACAACAGGUGUAACUGCUGACCAAGUCUCUCCUGAGCAGGAGGACGUAACUCAGAGUGAAGAGGAAUCUGUAACACUCAAAUGCUCUUAUGAGACGAGCAGCAACAAUGUUCGUCUUUACUGGUACAGGCAGUAUCCUGGACAGGCACCUCAGUAUUUGUUAUAUAAAGGGGCAAGAAGUAUUAGUUAUAAACACAGCUCUGAUCCAAGAUUUGAUUCCACAACAUCACAAACAUCCACUGAGCUCCAUAUUAAAGUCCUGACUCUGGCAGACACAGCUCUCUACUACUGUGCUCUGAGGGUAGCACAGUGAUACAAAGUCUCUGGAAUGCUGUACAAAAACUCAGAGGCAAACAGAAAACAUUUUAUGAGAGAGCUCAAAGUCAUUUCCUCAUU